rnacentral:rRNA from 1 species
GCAGUUGGACGUGGGUUAGUCGAUCCUAAGAGAUGGGAAAGCUCCGUUUCAAAGGCCUGAUUUUCCAGGCCACCUUCGAAAGGGAAUCCGGUUAAUAUUCCGGAACCUGGCUAUGGAUUCUUCACGGUAACGUAACUGAAUGUGGAGACGUCGCCGUGAGCCCUGGGAAGUUAUCUUUUCUUCUUAACAGCUUAUCACCCCGGAAUUGGUUUAUCCGGAGAUGGGGUCUUAUGGCUGGAAGAGCCCAGCACAUUUGCUGUGUCCGGUGCGCUUACGACGGCCCUUGAAAAUCCACAGGAAGGAAUAGUUUUCAUGCCAGGUCGUACUGAUAACCGCAGCAGGUCUCCAACGUUAACAGCCUCUAGUUGAUAGAAUAAUGUAGAUAAGGGAAGUCGGCAAAAUAGAUCCUUAACUUCGGGAUAAGGAUUGGCUCUAAGGAUCGGGUAGUGAGGGCCUUGGUCAGACGCGGCGAGCGUGCUUGUGGACUGUUCGGCGGGGCUUGCACUGCUGAACGGACUGCUUGCGUGCCUUUUCGUAGACGGCCUUGGUAGAUCCUUUUGAUCGUCACUUGCUACAAUUAACGAUCAACUUAGGACUGGUACGGACAAGGGGAAUCUGACUGUCUAAUUAAAACAUAC